rnacentral:rRNA from 1 species
UACGUAGGUGGCAAGCGUUGUCCGGAUUUACUGGGCGUAAAGGGCGUGCAGGCGGUCUGUUAAGUGCAGGGUGAAAGCUCCCGGCUCAACUGGGAGAGGUCCUUGCAUACUGGCGGACUUGAGGGGGGUAGAGGAAAGUGGAAUUCCCGGUGUAGUGGUGAUAUGCGUAGAUAUCGGGAGGAACACCAGUGGCGAAGGCGGCGAUCUGGGAAGAUACUGACGCUGAGGUGCGAAAGCGUGGGGAGCAAACAGG